GGAUGAACGCUGGCGGCGUGCCUAACACAUGCAAGUCGAACGAAGCGACUGGAGGAAGUUUUCGGAUGGAAUCCGGUUGACUGAGUGGCGGACGGGUGAGUAACGCGUGGAUAACCUGCCUCACACUGGGGGAUAACAGUUAGAAAUGGCUGCUAAUACCGCAUAAGCGCACAGUACCGCAUGGUACGGUGUGAAAAACCCAGGUGGUGUGAGAUGGAUCCGCGUCUGAUUAGCCAGUUGGCGGGGUAACGGCCCACCAAAGCGACGAUCAGUAGCCGACCUGAGAGGGUGACCGGCCACAUUGGGACUGAGACACGGCCCAAACUCCUACGGGAGGCAGCAGUGGGGAAUAUUGCACAAUGGGCGGAAGCCUGAUGCAGCGACGCCGCGUGAGUGAAGAAGUAUCUCGGUAUGUAAAGCUCUAUCAGCAGGGAAGAAAAUGACGGUACCUGACUAAGAAGCCCCGGCUAACUACGUGCCAGCAGCCGCGGUAAUACGUAGGGGGCAAGCGUUAUCCGGAUUUACUGGGUGUAAAGGGAGCGUAGACGGCGACGCAAGUCUGGAGUGAAAGCCCGGGGCCCAACCCCGGGACUGCUUUGGAAACUGUGCUGCUGGAGUGCAGGAGAGGUAAGUGGAAUUCCUAGUGUAGCGGUGAAAUGCGUAGAUAUUAGGAGGAACACCAGUGGCGAAGGCGGCUUACUGGACUGUAACUGACGUUGAGGCUCGA
rnacentral:rRNA from 1 species